CGAACGCUGGCGGUGCGUUUUAAGCAUGCAAGUCGUGGGGUAGAUAGUAGCUUGCUACUAUUGAGACCGGCGGACGGGUGAGUAACACGUGAGAAUCUGCCCUUAGGAAAGGGAUAGCCUAUGGAAACAUAGGGUAAUACCUUAUAUGUCUUCGGAUAAAAGUUUCUUUUGAAACGCCUAAGGAUGAGCUCGCGGAUCAUUAGCUAGUUGGUGGGGUAAGAGCCUACCAAGGCAACGAUGAUUAGCCGGCCUGAGAGGGUGAACGGCCACAUUGGGACUGAGAUACGGCCCAGACUCCUACGGGAGGCAGCAGCUAAGAAUCUUCCGCAAUGGGGGAAACCCUGACGGAGCGACACCGCGUGAGUGAUGAAGGCGGAAACGUUGUAAAGCUCUUUUAUAUGGGAAGAAUAAGGUAGAUGAGAGAAACAUGUAUCGAUGACGGUACCAUAUGAAUAAGCCUCGGCUAACUAC
rnacentral:rRNA from 1 species